rnacentral:lncRNA from 1 species
CAAAAUAAAGGUAGAAAAUUAAACACAUUUAUGGACACAAAUGUUAUUUUCUUGAACUUAUUAUCUUACAUGGAUAUUCCAAAAUCAAUAUUCCAAAACCACAAUUUGUGGAAUUGGACUACCUUUAUGUAUUGUUGGGUUAAAUAUGAGUACCACAUUAGCAUAUAAUGUAAUUUUUUUAUAGGUUUACCAAAGCGCAAUAAACUGAGUACUUUCAGACUACAAUAGGCAGUUUUGAAAUGUUAAGCUAUUUUAUUAAGUUAUUGGUAACUCAACACAAUGUUUAAAGUCAACAUCUGGUAGUAGGAAUAAAGCGUAACACAAAGGAUAUGGGUUUGAUUCCUAGGGAGCAUGUAUAAUAAUAAAACAUAUGAAGUUUAGAAUUCACUGCUGUUUGCUUGGGAUAAAUUUUUUUAGACAAUUAAUUAAUGUAAAUCAUAUUUGCUCACACUGGUAUCCUGAUUAUUGAUGAGAUCUCCAUGACGAUGUUCACUCAUUCUUGAAUUGCCCUAAUGUUCUGCCCUGAUGAACUCGCAGGUUGGCCUUAAUUACUACAUGAGUGAGAUAUGUCAUCGUGGCUUGGUGCGAUUCCACACCACAUUCUGCAAAGCCUUGCGACUUUUCAAGGCGAGGGCAAAUCCUCGUUGUUCCCAAUGCCUACUCAAAGAGAGAUAGAGGAUCCCAGUCCAGAGACCUCCGCUUUUGAGUUCAACACACCUGGAGCUAGCUAAUUCCCUCAUCCAUCUAAAAAAACAAAAAACAAAACAAAAAAAACACCAACAAAUAGACACUACAAAAAGAAGGCAGUUUUUGGACAUCUGUGGUUUUGCACCAUGGGACUGUGUUCUCAUAAUGGAUUGUUAGUGGUGUUGCUGUUUCAUCUUUGCCAGGCACAAGAUGAUGCUAUCCCCUCCCCUGACCCUGAGCUAGCCCCACCAAGCCUGGGUGAUGUGUCUGAUGCAGUGAAGGCAGACUUUGAGCAGGAAGUACAGAUCUCGACAACCGACACUGUACACGAGGCCUCAGAGCAGGUCGUAGGUGAACUCUCUCCACAGAAGACUCCAGAAGAGCAGUCACCAAUGGUAGAGACCACAGCUGAUUAUACAACAGAAGCAGCAGCUAAAGAGGAGGCAGUGGUGCUCACUGCAGGUGAACCAGAUGCUCAUUUGUUAGAAUCAACUCAAGAUAUUGAGCCUGCAGAGGAGAUUCAAGGACUGAUACCUCAGGCAUCAAUCUCAGAGCCAGAUGUGAAAUCAGUUAUAAAACCAGGAGAGUUGGUCCUUGAAGCAGUAGAUUCAGUUCAGGAACCAGUAGAAUCAGUUUUGCAAGACCCUAAGAUUGCUGAAGUGGGUGAUACAAUGACUGAGGAAAGCCAUGCAGAUGAAUCACCUGUCCAGAUGUGUCCUGAUACACAAAAAGAUAAACAAUCAGAAAGAGUAGCUGCAGAAAUGGAAGUGGUUGAAGAUGAAAAUGUAGAAGAGCCAGAACAGGGAUUCAUUGAGAAGGAAGCUCAGGUGUCUGAGAUGGAAGAGAAAACAGGAAAGGGGGAAAUAGAGAAAGUAGAGGUGAUGAUAAGUAGGGGACAAGUUAAACUACAAGGACAACAAAAAGAAGAAUCUUUGGAAAGGCAAGAUACAGAAUGGGAUAAAGAAUCAGAGCAUAGUCAAGAGGAAUGGCAGGCAGUAACAGCACAGAUGGCUCCAGAUGGUGGUGUGGUUGAUAUGGAUGAAGUAGAACAGGAAGAGGAAGAACAGGAAGUAGCGAAGACUGAAGAAGGUGUGAUUGAAGUUGAAGCAAGGAGAGAGGAGGUAGAGGCUGGAUCUGAGGCACAGCUAUGGAAGGUUUCAAGAGAGAAGGAGGUUCAUCCAGCCGACAAAACAGUACUGGAGAAAACUCAACAAGAACCAGAGGUCACCGUGGAUACAUGGGGACCAAUUAAGCUGCAGGAGCCUGUUAUUACGAAGUCAAAAGCAACAGGCGAUUUUACAGGUAAAACACAUGAGGCCAGUGAUGUAAAUGAGAUUAUCACCUCCAGAGACCCGAACAAGAACAAUCAGGGUGUACCAGUGUUGAUGAACACUGUUGAGGAGCUCCAACCAACACCAGUUCUCAAACUGAGGCUUGGAGAUACUGACGCACCAGCGGAGGAACAUGUUGACUCUACACAGACCAAAGCCACAGGGCAGGAAGCAUGGAAGAUAGGAGCCAUAGCAGCAGCUUUCUUUCUCAUUCUGCAAACUGCUGUCACCAUUGUCUACAUUCUGAAGUGCCGGCGAAAGCCAAAUAGCAGUGUGGCCUCAAAGAACCUGUGUGCUGGAGGAAACGGAGGCAUGGAAUGUGAUGCAAACAACACAGAUACCACCAUUCCAAUCGAUGAACAAACUGCUGUAGAUGACCUUCCUGAGUACUCAGAGGUCCAGCAAGAGGACGUUGCUAUGACAACUUUCACACUGGAUUCCACAGAGAAGAAUUCACCCUAUGACCCCAGAACCUCUGUUGUUUAG